UGGCAGUGCACUACUAGCUGGC
rnacentral:miRNA from 1 species